AAAACACACGAAAAGAAUGAAAAAAUGAAGCGAAGCGUAGAAAAUAACUCCCACAAAAGGCAGUGGUGAUGAACACCAUGUAGCCGAUAGAAUCCACCUUGUGGACAAUGUCAUCGUGUCAUAGGCAGUGGACAAGGAAAUCUAUGAUGCCCGACUCGCCUUGUGCAUCAUCAGCGAAGGUAGUUAGAAGGUCCUCACCACUAAAGUCGCAAAGGAGGUCGAACUCUA
rnacentral:lncRNA from 1 species